CACGUAGGAGGCGAGCGUUGUCCGGAAUCAUUGGGCGUAAAGAGCGCGCAGGCGGCUUGGCAAGUCGGGUGUGAAAUCCCGGGGCUCAACCCCGGGACUGCAUUCGAUACUGUCAGGCUAGAGGUAGGUAGGGGAGAUCGGAAUUCUUGGUGUAGCGGUGAAAUGCGUAGAUAUCAAGAGGAACACCUGAGGUGAAGACGGGUUGCUGGGCUGACACUGACGCUGAGGCACGAAAGCUAGGGUAGCAAACGGG
rnacentral:rRNA from 1 species